GUCCCCGUAGCUCAACUGGAUAGAGUGUCGGCCUCCGAAGCCGAAGGUUGCAGGUUCGAACCCCGCCGGGGAUAC
rnacentral:tRNA from 1 species